CGUGUAGGCGGGGAUGCAAGUCAGAUGUGAAAUUCCGGGGGCUCAACCUCGGCACUGCAUCUGAAACUGUGUCUCUUGAGUGCUGGAGAGGAAAGUGGAAUUCCUAGUGUAGCGGUGAAAUGCGUAGAGAUUAGGAGGAACACCAGUGGCGAAGGCGACUUUCUGGACAGCAACUGACGCUGAGGCGCGAGAGCGUGGGGACGCGAAACA
rnacentral:rRNA from 1 species